rnacentral:lncRNA from 1 species
UGUAUCGGAUUUGUGCUUAGCUACAGCUGUUCAUGGUUUGGUAUACUGGCAUGGCCUCACCUUUACUGUUAGGUUAAGGUAACCUUAGGGUGUUUGUGAGACUGUGGCUUGAAGGAUUUGACAUACUGCACAGAUACAGUGCUAAGGACCAUUAUCUGUGGAGUGGGGAAGGAGAGCUGGGAAGAAUAUAAUGCAGAGUUACGUGCACCACAGACUUAUUAAGCUGUCUGUGAACAGAAUUUAAUUGGAAGACCACACAUUCUUGGACAGUGCAGCAACCAAGCCUGAUCCUGCUUUCAGAGGAAUUCAAGGCCAAUCUAAAUCGUUGCUUUGGGAAACAUAAGCUUAGGACCAUGGCGAACCAGCAACACGUUCUGAGACAAGCUUCUGGAGUCUCUUAAAUCUAUAGAAGUUUUUCUAUUGACUGCAUUCCUUUAAUUUCUGUCUAGGUUUCCUGAUUCAAUAGCCUAUCAACUGUGUAACUUUCCUUCCUUGUUAUGUACGUAGAAUGUGAUCAGAUACUUUAGUUUGUAAUCAUUACUUUCUAUACAUAAAUCACAUACAGAUGGUGUAUUUCAAUUUCUAAACUGUAGUGGUUUUUUUUUUCUGUUUCUGAAAACAAUGUAAAAUAUAAUAGCUUGCCUGUAUGAUUUUCAUAAAAGAGGAAAAAUAAAAAAAAAGAAACAAACA